UGUGCGGUUUGUAAUACUGGCAGUGCAAAAACAGUACUAUUUACACAUUAUUAUAUAUUACACAUCUGAUAAAAAUUAACUUAUAAUUUUUUUUUUUGUUUUAUUAUUAAUAAAAAGUACAAUUUUAAGAAUGAUUUUUUAGUUUGUUGGUGGUCUUAGCUUAUUUUUAUUAUGUCAGGCUGUCAUGAUGUUCUUAUGUAAUUUAUGUAUAACAUAAGAUUAAAAUGAGAUUUUCAUGACCAAGUUUACUUAUUAAAACAUUUACUACGCCCAUAAAAUAUCUUGAUUCAACUCGUCAACACGGGUUUUUUCACGGAUGGAUGGUUUGUGUUGCAAACAAUGAAGUUAUUUAGCACUGGGCACAAAAUGCAUGGUUUGUUAAGUACAAAAUAUUUAUAUUAAGCAUAAAUAUUUAUAUAAGUACCUUGACCUUCACUUCUAUCAAUUUUCAAAGUAAAUUGAUAGUAUCCGGGAAAUUCAAUGGUCGCC